GAAAAGGAGCAAUCCGCUUUGAGAUGGCCUCGCGUCCGAUUAGCUAGUUGGUGAGGUAACGGCCCACCAAGGCGACGAUCGGUAGCCGGACUGAGAGGUUGAACGGCCACAUUGGGACUGAGACACGGCCCAGACUCCUACGGGAGGCAGCAGUGGGGAAUAUUGCACAAUGGGGGAAACCCUGAUGCAGCGACGCCGCGUGGAGGAAGAAGGUCUUCGGAUUGUAAACUCCUGUUGUUGAGGAAGAUAAUGACGGUACUCAACAAGGAAGUGACGGCUAACUACGUGCCAGCAGCCGCGGUAAAACGUAGGUCACAAGCGUUGUCCGGAAUUACUGGGUGUAAAGGGAGCGCAGGCGGGAAGACAAGUUGGAAGUGAAAUCCAUGGGCUCAACCCAUGAACUGCUUUCAAAACUGUUUUUCUUGAGUAGUGCAGAGGUAGGCGGAAUUCCCGGUGUAGCGGUGGAAUGCGUAGAUAUCGGGAGGAACACCAGUGGCGAAGGCGGCCUACUAGGCACCAACUGACGCUGAGGCUCGAAAGUGUGGGUAGCAAACAGGAUUAGAUACCCUGGUAGUCCACACUGUAAACGAUGAUUACUAGGUGUUGGAGGAUUGACCCCUUCAGUGCC
rnacentral:rRNA from 1 species